rnacentral:rRNA from 1 species
UGCCAGCCGCCGCGGUAAUACGGAGGGUGCAAGCGUUAAUCGGAAUUACUGGGCGUAAAGAGUACGUAGGCGGCUUUUCAAGUCGGAUGUGAAAGCCCUGAGCUUAACUCAGGAACUGCAUUCGAUACUGGAUCGCUAGAGUAUAUUAGAGGAUAGUGGAAUUUCAAGUGUAGCGGUGAAAUGCGUAGAUAUUUGAGGGAACACCAAUUGCGAAGGUAGCUCACUGGGCCGCUAUCGACGCUGAGGAGCGAAAGCUAGGGGAGCAAACAGGAUUAGAUA